rnacentral:rRNA from 1 species
CUAACUAGGAUUCCCUUAGUAGCGGCGAGCGAACAGGGAAGAGCCCAGCACUGAAUCCCCUAGCCGAUUUCGGAUAGUGGGAAAUGUAGUGUAUAGGAGGAUUCAUUUAUCCUGAGAUCAUGUAGCGCGUUUAAGUCCAUCUUGAAUGGGGCCAAUUACCCAUAGAGGGUGCCAGGCCCGUAAAACUGUUACUGAUCUUGGGAGGAUCUCUCCUUUGAGUCGGGUUGCUUGAGAGUGCAGCUCUAAGUGGGUGGUAAACUCCAUCUAAGGCUAAAUAUAACC